rnacentral:pre_miRNA from 1 species
AGUUGCUCCACAGUCGUUCUUCAUUGGCUAGCUUUAUGGCUCAGCCCUUGGAGUAAAGCUGCCAGUUGAAGAGCUGUUGUGGGUGAC